AUGGUAGCCCUCAAGUUGGACUUUCAAAAAGCCUUCGACUCGGUUAGCUGGUCAUGCCUACACAGUGUCUUAGCUGCCCGCAGCUUCCCUCGGCGUUGGAUCAGUUGGAUCGAGUGCUUGCUUUCUUCGGCAACAUCUCGAGUUUUGUUAAAUGGGGAGCUGGGUGACUGCUUUGCAAAUAAGAGUGGUUUCAGACAGGGCGACUCCAUCUCGCCGUAUCUCUUCAUUCUGGUGGCUGAUGUUUUGCAACGCCUUUGCUGCUUCGCCUUUGAAUGUGGCAGUUUGAUUCACCCUCUUGGUUCGGACAGGAUGUUCCCUAUUCUACAGUGCGCGGAUGACACCUUAAUCCUCUUUCACGGCACCGUUCAACAAGCUACAAUCAUCAAGCAGAUCUUGUCGGACUUCUCUGCCUUCUCUGGGUUACAGAUCAACUACCACAAAAGCACUCUCAUCCCAAUAUGCAUAGAUAGCUCUACCACUGAUGAGAUCGUUGGCGUGUUUGGCUGCUCAGCGUCAAGUUUCCCCUGCACAUACUUAGGCUUGCCCCUCUCUUUGCACAAGAUUAGACAUGACUUUCUACUUCCAGUCAUUCACAAAGUGGACAAGAGGUUGUCGGGAUGGCUGGCUACUCUUUUGUCUUGGGGCGGCAGGCUGACGCUGAUCAACUCUGUCCUGGCUAGCAUCCCAAGUUACUUCAUAACAUGUUUCUGCUGGCCAAAAGAAUCCAUUCACAAGCUCGAGAGUUUGUUGAGAUCUUUCCUAUGGCAAGGCGCGAGUGCAGCAAAGGGAGGCCAAUGUUUAGUUGCCUGGCAUUUCUUCACCAUGCCAUAA
rnacentral:rRNA from 1 species